rnacentral:lncRNA from 1 species
CAGGAUGAGCGUUAUGAGGCGGGGGCUUGGGGUGGGGCCAGGAUGAGCGUCAUGAGGGCGAGGCCUGGGGUAGGGCCAGGAUAAGCGUCGUUGGGGCAGGUCCUGGGGAGAGUUCAGGUUGGCGGGUCCUGGGGCGGGGCCAGGACAGGGCGAUCCUGGAAGCGGGGCUUCGGAAGCGUCCAGGUUGGAGGCGUCCUGGAGGCGGGGCCUUGCGUGGGGGCAGGAUAAGAGUCCUGGAGGCGGGCGUUAGGGUGGGGGUAAACGAUGAUUGGGUUCAGGAGGCGAGAGUCGGAGCAGAGCCCAGGAGACAGGUCUUAGGGCGGGGCUAAGGCCAGACCCAGAGAAGGGCUCAGGAGGCGGGGCCAGGGCGGGGCGUUGACUAUGUCGUAGCACGUUGCCAGGCACUGCUCGAACUCUGGGAGGCGGAUCUUAGGACAGGCCGACGUGGGGAGGGGCCCAGGGUCCGGGAGGCGGGGCCGAGUCUAGGCUGCGGGCUGCGCUCAGGAGGCGGGCCCUGGGAGGCGGAGCUUAGGGAGGGUCCGGUGUUGGCAGGGACCAAGGGACUGGGAGGCGGAUCGGGGCUGGGCUCAGGGGCCGAGAGGGAGCUGGGCUUGGGGCGGGGCCGAGACGGAGCGAGGGGUCCAGGGUGUGAGAAACGGGGAGGGGUUUGAGGAGGGGAUUGGAGUGUGGCUCAAGUUCGGGAGGCGUUACCUGCGGAGGGUUUGAGGCAGGCCCAGGAGCGAGCCCACGGUCUGCCGACGCGGGGCCAGCGGCGGGCCCCAGGAUCCGGAGCUUCGGGCGGGGCCGAGUCCAGCUGUUGUUCCCCACCAGAACCAAAUGAGCGCAAGAUCUGACAAAGAAAAAAAAAGGUUCAUCUUUUAUUCCGCCAAACACUUUCAUCUAAAUCAAGAGGGUGGGAUGUGGUUAUUGCUGUGUUUUUAGACAGAAUCAACAGUUUCUGGGUCUGAGAUAUUGCAUACACCCUCUCAGUCCCUGUAUCCUCAGAUGGAGUCACCUGAGAAUCCACAGCAAGUCCUAACCGGGGAUGGGUCUGGGUGGUUAAGGAAGGUUGGCCUCAGAACUGGGCCAGGGGCACUGCUUUGCUUUUGCUGUUUUGAUCAGCUCUCUGCCCGCAGGAGACAAGGAAAACCAAUGGGAACAGCCCAGUAAAGGCGCCAUUCCCCAUUUUACAGCUGGGGAAACUGAGUUACAGAGCUUGUCUACACUGAGUCAACAGGAGCAAAUGCUAGAUCAGGUCUAGCUGGAGUACAGUGAUGCAGUCAUAGCCCACUGCAGCCUCAAAAUUCCUGGGCUCAAGCAAUCCACCCACAUCAGCUUCCCAAGUAGUUGGGACUACAGGCCCACACUACUAUACCCAGGUAAUUAUUUUAAUUUUUGUAGAGAUGGCAGGUGGCGGUGAGGGGCGGGCAGUUUUGCUAUGUUGCCCAGGCUGGUCUCAAACUCGACCUCAAGUGAACCUCCUGCCUCAGCCCCACAA